rnacentral:rRNA from 1 species
UUCAAAGCCCUAGCUCAACCACCCCCUCCAACACAAACCAACACAAAUCAAAACAAACCAUUUGAUACUACUAGUAAAGGAGAUUGAAAAU